CCCUAACACCACUUGUACCAUCAUAUUUCAUGCUCAUAAAUUUAUCCAUCAGAUCCCCAGUUUCGGCUUUAUCAGACUUAAUAAAUUUUUCUCCUAUGGCAUCCAUAAAACUUUUGGCAUUUUCAUUAUCAGGGAUGGCACCUAGAAUGGAAUCAGAUAUCGAUCGCUUAAUAAUUUUCAAACAGAGUUUGUUAGCCCUUUCCCACUUUUCAUGCUCGGUUACAUAUUCAACGGUACUCUU
rnacentral:lncRNA from 1 species